GGUUAAGCGACUAAGCGUACACGGUGGAUGCCCUGGCAGUCAGAGGCGAUGAAGGACGUGCUAAUCUGCGAAAAGCGUCGGUAAGGUGAUAUGAACCGUUAUAGCCGGCGAUGUCCGAAUGGGGAAACCCAGUGUGAUUCGUCACACUAUCGUUAACUGAAUACAUAGGUUAACGAGGCGAACCGGGGGAACUGAAACAUCUAAGUACCCCGAGGAAAAGAAAUCAACCGAGAUUCCCCCAGUAGCGGCGAGCGAACGGGGAGCAGCCCAGAGUUUGAAUCAGCUUGUGUGUUAGUGGAACGGUCUGGAAAGUCCGACGGUACAGGGUGAUAGUCCCGUACACCAAAAUGCACAGGCUGUGAACUCGAAGAGUAGGGCGGGACACGUGGUAUCCUGUCUGAAUAUGGGGGGACCAUCCUCCAAGGCUAAAUACUCCUGACUGACCGAUAGUGAACCAGUACCGUGAGGGAAAGGCGAAAAGAACCCCGGCGAGGGGAGUGAAAAAGAACCUGAAACCGUGUACGUACAAGCAGUGGGAGCACCUUCGGGUGUGACUGCGUACCUUUUGUAUAAUGGGUCAGCGACUUAUAUUCUGUAGCAAGGUUAACCGUAUAGGGGAGCCGCAGGGAAACCGAGUCUUAACUGGGCGUUAAGUUGCAGGGUAUAGACCCGAAACCCGGUGAUCUAGCCAUGGGCAGGUUGAAGGUUGGGUAACACUAACUGGAGGACCGAACCGACUAAUGUUGAAAAAUUAGCGGAUGACUUGUGGCUGGGGGUGAAAGGCCAAUCAAACCGGGAGAUAGCUGGUUCUCCCCGAAAGCUAUUUAGGUAGCGCCUCGUGAAUUCAUCUUCGGGGGUAGAGCACUGUUUCGGCUAGGGGGUCAUCCCGACUUACCAACCCGAUGCAAACUACGAAUACCGAAGAAUGUUAUCACGGGAGACACACGGCGGGUGCUAACGUCCGUCGUGAAGAGGGAAACAACCCAGACCGCCAGCUAAGGUCCCAAAGUCAUGGUUAAGUGGGAAACGAUGUGGGAAGGCACAGACAGCCAGGAUGUUGGCUUAGAAGCAGCCAUCAUUUAAAGAAAGCGUAAUAGCUCACUGGUCGAGUCGGCCUGCGCGGAAGAUGUAACGGGGCUAAACCAUGCACCGAAGCUGCGGCAGCGACACUAUGUGUUGUUGGGUAGGGGAGCGUUCUGUAAGCCUGCGAAGGUGACCUGUGAGGGUUGCUGGAGGUAUCAGAAGUGCGAAUGCUGACAUAAGUAACGAUAAAGCGGGUGAAAAGCCCGCUCGCCGGAAGACCAAGGGUUCCUGUCCAACGUUAAUCGGGGCAGGGUGAGUCGACCCCUAAGGCGAGGCCGAAAGGCGUAGUCGAUGGGAAACAGGUUAAUAUUCCUGUACUUGGUGUUACUGCGAAGGGGGGACGGAGAAGGCUAUGUUAGCCGGGCGACGGUUGUCCCGGUUUAAGCAUGUAGGCUGGUUAUCCAGGCAAAUCCGGAUAAUCAAGGCUGAGGUGUGAUGACGAGGCACUACGGUGCUGAAGUAACAAAUGCCCUGCUUCCAGGAAAAGCCUCUAAGCAUCAGGUAACAUCAAAUCGUACCCCAAACCGACACAGGUGGUCAGGUAGAGAAUACCAAGGCGCUUGAGAGAACUCGGGUGAAGGAACUAGGCAAAAUGGUGCCGUAACUUCGGGAGAAGGCACGCUGGUGUGUAGGUGAAGUCCCUGCGGAUGGAGCUGAGACCAGUCGAAGAUACCAGCUGGCUGCAACUGUUUAUUAAAAACACAGCACUGUGCAAACACGAAAGUGGACGUAUACGGUGUGACGCCUGCCCGGUGCCGGAAGGUUAAUUGAUGGGGUUAUCCGUAAGGAGAAGCUCUUGAUCGAAGCCCCGGUAAACGGCGGCCGUAACUAUAACGGUCCUAAGGUAGCGAAAUUCCUUGUCGGGUAAGUUCCGACCUGCACGAAUGGCGUAAUGAUGGCCAGGCUGUCUCCACCCGAGACUCAGUGAAAUUGAACUCGCUGUGAAGAUGCAGUGUACCCGCGGCAAGACGGAAAGACCCCGUGAACCUUUACUAUAGCUUGACACUGAACAUUGAGCCUUGAUGUGUAGGAUAGGUGGGAGGCUUUGAAGCGUGGACGCCAGUCUGCGUGGAGCCAACCUUGAAAUACCACCCUUUAAUGUUUGAUGUUCUAACGUUGGCCCCUUACCGGGGUUGCGGACAGUGUCUGGUGGGUAGUUUGACUGGGGCGGUCUCCUCCCAAAGCGUAACGGAGGAGCACGAAGGUUAGCUAAUCCUGGUCGGACAUCAGGAGGUUAGUGCAAUGGCAUAAGCUAGCUUGACUGCGAGCGUGACGGCGCGAGCAGGUGCGAAAGCAGGUCAUAGUGAUCCGGUGGUUCUGAAUGGAAGGGCCAUCGCUCAACGGAUAAAAGGUACUCCGGGGAUAACAGGCUGAUACCGCCCAAGAGUUCAUAUCGACGGCGGUGUUUGGCACCUCGAUGUCGGCUCAUCACAUCCUGGGGCUGAAGUAGGUCCCAAGGGUAUGGCUGUUCGCCAUUUAAAGUGGUACGCGAGCUGGGUUUAGAACGUCGUGAGACAGUUCGGUCCCUAUCUGCCGUGGGCGCUGGAGAAUUGAGGGGGGCUGCUCCUAGUACGAGAGGACCGGAGUGGACGCAUCACUGGUGUUCGGGUUGUCAUGCCAAUGGCACUGCCCGGUAGCUAAAUGCGGAAGAGAUAAGUGCUGAAAGCAUCUAAGCACGAAACUUGCCCCGAGAUGAGUUCUCCCUGAGACUUUAAGUCUCCUGAAGGAACGUUGAAGACGACGACGUUGAUAGGCCGGGUGUGUAAGCGCAGCGAUGCGUUGAGCUAACCGGUACUAAUGAACCGUGAGGCUUAACCUU
rnacentral:rRNA from 1 species